GGUUUGCAUUUGUUCUGCCUUUGAUGGGCUGGGAAUCCUGUUUGAGUUCUAAAGUAAAUGUAGAGAACUUAUAAUAAUAACAGACUCCUUUGACCAACUAACAUAUAUUCCGAAUCCUCUAACAGAGAUCUGCGGUAAAAAUGGUGAAGACCCAGCAAGUUUUGUUGGCUGUUCUGUGGCUUCGGUUACACUGGGUAAGCGGCAAAAAUGAUGUGGAGCAGAGUCCCCGGUACCUGAGUGCCCUGGAAGGAGACUUUGUCACAAUCAACUGCAGUUACUCAGAAAAAAUGACCACUUUACAGUGGUUCCAACAGAAUCCUGGAAGAGAUGUUGUCUCCUUGUUUAUACUGAGCUUAGAGAUGAAGAAGAAAGGAAGAGUAAGUGCCACAAUCAACAGAAAAGAACGUCACAGCUCCCUGCACAUCACAGCUUCACAGCCCCGAGACUCUGCCACCUACUUUUGUGCUGUAGAGACACAGUGCUCCCCAGGCAUCUGAAGCCUGUGCCCAAAC